CUAAGGAUGCCAAUGUGAUACAGCAGAGGAGAUGAGGUCACACUCCAUGGGGAGAUGGUCACAUAAAGCUUCUUAGAAAAUGCUCCUGCUUCAGGUGCAGAAACACAGCUAUUUCCAGUGCCAGCUGUUGAGCCAGUGCCAGCACCAGGGGCAGAGCCCCUUCCAGGGACAGCGCUGGAGCUAGAGGAAGCUCCAGAGCCCUCCUGCCGCUGCCCUGGGACUGCACAGGACCAGCCUAGUGAGAAGCUGCCUGACUUCAUGGCACCUCCUGUAGAGCCACUGGCCUCAGCCCUGGAGCUGAAAGUGUGGCUGGAGCUAGAGGUGGCAGAGAGGGGGUGACCAGCACAGUUCCAGCCAGCAGCUCCCACACUGCUCCCAGUCCUGGGCACAGUGGAAGCUAUGGAGGCAGAGACCAGGGUGUGCAACCUGGGCUCCUCUGCCUCACUGGAGAGGGACUUCUCUCAUUCAGCAGAGCAGCAGCCCUGCUGCUGAAGGCCCUGCCGCUACUGCUGCUGGAGGUGUUUGCCUGCCUGCAGGAGGUGCUGGAGAGCAAGAAAAGGAGCCUGUGAGCAGGGGUUCCAGCAGGUCCUCCUGCUCCCAGAGGCGACCUCCUCCUCCAGGAAUGGAGGUUUGCCCUCAGCUGGGCAUCUGGGCCAUUUGCCUCUAAUGUGCUGCCCAGGAUGGCCUCUUCUUGACAGGUGGACAGGGGUUGAGGGGGCCAGGGGGCAUCUCCAAAGGAAGCUCUUAAACUCAGCAGCAGCACUCCAGAAUCUCCAUGCCUGCACCUGCCCAAGGAUUUAUUCAUAGCUUAACUAAGAAUUUCAAAUUUCUACCAUAACACUGAAAUAAAGUUUGACUUUUUGAAACUUCC
rnacentral:lncRNA from 1 species